rnacentral:rRNA from 1 species
GACGAACGCUGGCGGCGUGCUUAACACAUGCCAGUCGAACGGUGAAGCGCCUUCCUUUUUGGUGGGUGUGGAUGAGUGGCGAACGGGUGAGUAACACGUGAGUAACCUGCCCCCUUCUUCUGGAUAACCGCAUGAAAGUGUGGCUAAUACGGGAUAUUCUGGGUCUGUCGCAUGAUGGGUCUGGGAAAGAUAUUGUUUCGGUGGGGGAUGGGCUCGCGGCCUAUCAGCUUGUUGGUGGGGUGAUGGCCUACCAAGGCGGUGACGGGUAGCCGGCCUGAGAGGGUGGACGGUCACACUGGGACUGAGACACGGCCCAGACUCCUACGGGAGGCAGCAGUGGGGAAUAUUGCACAAUGGGCGCAAGCCUGAUGCAGCGACGCCGCGUGAGGGAUGGAGGCCUUCGGGUUGUGAACCCCUUUCGCCAGUGAAGCAGGCCUGCCUCGUUUGUGGGUGGGUUGACGGUAGCUGGAUAAGAAGCGCCGGCUAACUACGUG